AUUGUUUCACAUAGCAAACACAUAGGCUUGUUGACAAUCAUAGGCAAGUUACAUAAGCCAUAAUAACACACAUAGCUAAUAAUCAAGAUGAAGUCUGCUACAGUUAUUGUUGUAUUGGUUGUUGCUUUGUUGAUUGUGUCUCAAGUAACAGAAGCGCAUGUUGAAAAAUGUUACUGUCUUGGUAGAUGUGGAACUUUCAAAUGUAGACAUCCGUUUAUUUCACGAGCCUGUAACUGUAACGCCUGCACGUGUAUCCGUGGAUUUGGGAAAUGAUGACGAUGCAUACCAUGUAACUGUAAUGAAUGCUGAUAUAACCAUAAUGUAUAAAUACUAUUUUAAUUGUUGAUUGUUUACAAAUUAUAAAUUUGAAUAAAACUUUGCGCAAGUUUCA